UGGCCCAGUUGCUUCCCAUGGAGGAGAACUUUCUCCUGUUGUUUCGCAGAGAACAUCCUUUGGAAUCAAGUGUGGAGUUUAUGAAGACUUGGCGGAAGUACGACGAGGAUCACAGCGGAUACAUAGAAGCAGACGAACUCAAGCACUUCCUGAAAGACCUCCUGAAGUCAUUUGAGAAAAUUGUCACAGAGGAACAGCUCAUCACGUACGCUGACACGAUG
rnacentral:sRNA from 1 species